AUCCAGGUCUGGGGCAUGAACCUGGCAUACAAUGUAGAUUUCUGUGUUUAUUAGGCAACAGCUACAUUGUCUGCUGGGUUUCAGGCUACCUGGAA
ensembl:miRNA Mir221 microRNA 221